UACAGGGGAUGCAAGCGUUAUUCGGAAUUAUUGGGCGUAAAGCGUUUGUAGGUUGAAAAUCGAGUCUUUUGUAAAAUCUUUGAGCUUAACUUAAAGGCUGCAAACUAGACACUAAUUUUCUUGAGAUAGUAAAAGGCAAAGGGAAUUUCCAGUGGAGUGGUGAAAUAUUUUGAUAUUGGAAAGAACACCGAUGGCGAAAGCACUUUGCUAGGACUAUACUGACACUGAGAAACGAAAGCUAGGGGAGCAAACAGG
rnacentral:rRNA from 1 species